GAUGAACGCUGGCGGCGUGCCUAAUACAUGCAAGUCGAGCGAACGGACGAGAAGCUUGCUUUUCUGAUGUUAGCGGCGGACGGGUGAGUAACACGUGGAUAACCUACCUAUAAGACUGGGAUAACUUCGGGAAACCGGAGCUAAUACCGGAUAAUAUUUUGAACCGCAUGGUUCAAAAGUGAAAGACGGUCUUGCUGUCACUUAUAGAUGGAUCCGCGCUGCAUUAGCUAGUUGGUAAGGUAACUGCUUACCAAGGCAACGAUGCAUAGCCGACCUGAGGGGGAGGUCGCACAGACGGGAUGAGAGACUCAGCACAGACACCUGCGGGAGGAAGCGGUAGAGAAUCUUCCGCAAUGGGGGAGAGCCUGACGGAGCAACGUGGCGUAAGUGAUGAUCGUCUUCGGAUCGGAAAACUCUGUUAUUCGGGAAGAACAAAUGUGUAAGUAACUGUGCAGAUCUUGACGGUACCGAGUCAGAAAGCCACGGCUAACUACGUG
rnacentral:rRNA from 1 species